rnacentral:rRNA from 1 species
UGAACGCUGGCGGCGUGCUUAACACAUGCAAGUCGAACGAUGAAGCCCAGCUUGCUGGGUGGAUUAGUGGCGAACGGGUGAGUAACACGUGAGUAACCUGCCCUUAACUCUGGGAUAAGCCUGGGAAACUGGGUCUAAUACCGGAUAGGAGCGCCUACCGCAUGGUGGGUGUUGGAAAGAUUUAUCGGUUUUGGAUGGACUCGCGGCCUAUCAGCUUGUUGGUGAGGUAAUGGCUCACCAAGGCGACGACGGGUAGCCGGCCUGAGAGGGUGACCGGCCACACUGGGACUGAGACACGGCCCAGACUCCUACGGGAGGCAGCAGUGGGGAAUAUUGCACAAUGGGCGAAAGCCUGAUGCAGCGACGCCGCGUGAGGGAUGACGGCCUUCGGGUUGUAAACCUCUUUCAGUAGGGAAGAAGCGAAAGUGACGGUACCUGCAGAAGAAGCACCGGCUAACUAC